rnacentral:rRNA from 1 species
UACGUAGGGUCCAAGCGUUGUCCGGAUUUAUUGGGCGUAAAGAGCUCGUAGGCGGUUCCGUAAGUCGGAUGUGAAAACUCAGGGCUCAACCCGGAGACGCCAUCCGAUACUGCGGUGACUGGAGUCUGGUAGGGGAUCACGGAAUACCUGGUGUAGCGGUGAAAUGCGCAGAUAUCAGGUGGAACACCGAUGGCGAAGGCAGUGAUCUGGGCCAGUACUGACGCUGAGGUGCGAAAGCGUGGGGAGCAAACAGG